rnacentral:snRNA from 1 species
GUGCUCGCUUCGGCAGCACAUAUACUAAAAUUGGAAUGAUAGAGAAGAUUAGCAUGGAUCCUGAGCAAGGAUGACACGCAAAUUCGUGAAGUGUUCCAUAUUUUC